AGCAGCCGCGGUAAUUCCAGCUCCAAUAGCGUAUAUUAAAGUUGCUGCAGUUAAAAAGCUCGUAGUUGAAUUUCGGGACCAUCAUGUCGGUCGUGCCUCGGUACGUACUGGUAUUGUUGGUUUCUCCCUUCUGACGAACCAUGAUGUCAUUUAUUUGGUGUUGUGGGGAAUCAGGACUGUUACUUUGAAAAAAAUUGAGUGUUUAAAGCAGGCUCACGCUUGAAUACAUUAGCAUGGAAUAAUGAAAUAGGACGUUUGAUUCUAUUUUGUUGGUUUCUAGGAUCGACGUAAUGAUUAAUAGGGAUAGUUGGGGGCUAUUAGUAUUCAAUUGUCAGAGGUGAAAUUCUUGGAUUUAUUGAAGACUAACUACUGCGAAAGCAUUUGCCAAGGAUUGUUUUCAUUAAUCAAGAACGAAAGUUAGGGAUACGAAGUACGAUCAGACUACCGUCGUAGUCCUUAAACCAUAAACUAU
rnacentral:rRNA from 1 species